AACGCCGCGUGAGUGAUGAAGGUUUUCGGAUCGUAAAACUCUGUUGUUAGGGAAGAACAAGUGCCAUAGUAACUGAUGGCACCUUGACGGUACCUAACCAGAAAGCCACGGCUAACUACGUGCCAGCAGCCGCGGUAAUACGUAGGUGGCAAGCGUUGUCCGGAAUUAUUGGGCGUAAAGCGCUCGCAGGCGGUUCUUUAAGUCUGAUGUGAAAUCUUACGGCUCAACCGUAAACGUGCAUUGGAAACUGGGGAACUUGAGUGCAGAAGAGGAGAGUGGAAUUCCACGUGUAGCGGUGACAUGCGUAGAGAUGUGGAGGAACACCAGUGGCGAAGGCGACUCUCUGGUCUGUAACUGACGCUGAGGAGCGAAAGCGUGGGGAGCGAACAGGAUUAGAUACCCUGGUUAGUCCACGCCGUAAAACGAUGAGUGCUAGGUGUAAGGGGGUUUCCGCCCC
rnacentral:rRNA from 1 species